GAUCGUCCUGCUGGGUUGUGGAUAGCGGAGCAUGAGGGCUCUGUCACGGCCCAUUCGUACCACACCUUCUUCCCAUUGUUACACCUCCAGAACCUCACCACGACGUCAUCAUCCUUCGUCACAGGGAUCGGUUGCUGCAGGUGGGAGAGGUGAAGCAGGCCUUGGGCUCAGCCAGCUGGUGGAAGUUGUGGAGUCGGACUACGUAAGGGGUCUCAAAGUGGCACUCAGGGUCCUUGUCCCGCUCCCUGCACCCCCGGACCUCGUUAUACAGCUUGGAGGAAGAGAGGGGGGCCAGGAAGGAGGUGUAGGAACAGGGGAUGCUCACCCCACCAUCUGAGAGGAACAAGAGAAUGGGAACACGUUUAAGAUGAAAGGGUAGAGGUGGAUGAGGCAAAAUUACAUUUACAUUUAAGUCAUUUAGCAGACGCUCUUAUCCAGAGCGACUUACAAAAUGGUAAUUGUCUUUCAAUGCCCAUGAUAUGUAUAGCUAUCAAAGAUUUCAAUAUCAACGAUUUGCAAAUUACUGCAGUUAGAAUUACCCCCCUACCUUUGAGAAAGUUCUGUGCUCCAUCUAAACACUCUGGGGACAGCUCAUUGUCCCCGAAGGACCCGAGCAGCUCGCUGACGAUGAUGUCUGCCUUCUCAGGUGCCGCCCACUCCCUCAUGUCACAUGACACUACGGUCACCUGAUCACCCCACUCCUCAAACUUCCAGUUCUCAAGCCUGGGAGUGUGUGACAGGAUCAGUACAGGGAAUUUUUAGGAGCUCAGUGGAGAAAAUCCCAUUUUCAUCUGGAUUUAUUAAUCUGCCAGAGUGUGAGUAUUAAAGCUAUCCAGGGAAAUUACUCCUAAAUGCCUGAAUUUUAAAAGAUGGAGGACUUCAAUUAUCUUCUGGAAUGAGUUUAGUCUGUGCUGGCAAAUCUUUGAGGUCAGGGUUCAAAAUGAGAAAAAGUUCCACUCACGUUACGACAGCGUUGGGGUUCUUCUCAACAGCGUAGAUACGGAGCCUUCUGUCAGCCUGCUUGGCGGCCCGCAGGGAGGCAUUGACCAAAGGACCUCUCCCAGCACCCAGCACCAUCAACACCCUGGGGUUACAGAGAAUGCAUACCGUUACCCACCAGAUACAGAGGGGGAAGGUGAUUGUCAGGAGAAUAGAUACUCAUUAACAGAGGACAGACAGUGAGGUGUUGGAGCUACUCACUGUGUAUUGGUCUCCUUCUGCUCCUCCGGGACUCUGUCCAUUAAACACUUAUACACAGCCUGCAUAAAGAUCAGGAGAACCCAAUCGGAACUUAAUGAUAUUACUGUGUUAAACCCUACCAGCCACAUCACUAAUACUGUUAGUGUAUUUCGCUACACUCGCAUUAACAUCUGCUAACCAUGUGUAUGUGACAAAUAAAAUUGGAUUUGAUUUGUAUUAUA